rnacentral:lncRNA from 1 species
UCACGGGGCUGACAGCCCGGCCAAUCAGAGCCCCGCGGUGCUCCCAAGGCUGGUGGUGCCGGCCAAUGGGAGCCCAACAGGAGGCCGGCCAAUCAGAGCCCGCCAAGUGCUGUGGGAUCCACCAGCCCUGGCCAAUGGGAGCCCUUGGAGCCAGGAGCCAAUCAGAGCUCUCAAAGCGCCAUGGGAUCCAUCAGCUCCAGCCAAUCAGAGCAGAGGAUCUCCAGGUCCAUCGGCACCAACAGCCAAUAGGGGCGCAGGGCACCCUCCAACCGCCAACCAAUCAAAUCCAUCCCCCCCAACCCGCCCUGAGCUGCAGCCAAUCAGAACCGGGCGCGUGCUCUGCCAACUCAGAGCCGCAGCCAAUCAGCGGGGGCGGGCUUCCUGGCGGGGGGCCAAUCAGAAGGCAGAGCCCCGCCCCCCCCGCGGCGUCCCCGUUGCUAGGGGCGGGGCGUUGCCAGGGGAACCCCGCUGCUGGGGGCGUGGCCGGGGCAGUUGCCGGGGUGACGGUGGGGUGACAGCGGGGUGGUUGCCAUGGGGACGCGGCGGUUGCCAUGGGGACGCGGCGGUUGCCAUGGGGACGCGGCGGUUGCCAUGGCGACUCACGGAGCAGGUACUCGGCGCUGUCGUGGUCGUACUCCAUGUCCUCGGGGAAGUGAUUGAUCUUCAGGCACAGCCCCCGCUUCAGCCCUGGGGGGGGCAGGGGGGGCGUGGGCACGGGGGCACCCGGGGGGCACCCAGAGGUCAUCCAGGGGUCACCCAGGGGGCACCCAGGGGGCACUCAGGGGAUGGGGACACCCCAGGGACCCCCCCCGCAGCGCUGUCACCCCCCCCCCCCCAACACCGCGAGUGCUGCGAGCUUCCCCCAGCAGUGCCCAAUGCCGUGAGCUUCCCCCAGCAGUGCCAUGACCUUCCCUCAAUGAUGCUGUGAUGCUGCGAGCUUCCCAACAGUGCCAUGAUGCCGUGAGCUUCCCCCAACAGUGCCCCAAUGCUGCCAGCUUCCCCCCAGCAGUGCCAUGAGAUUCCCCCGAUGGUGCUGCGAGCUUCCUCCCAACAGUGCCAGGAGCUCCCCCCCAUGAUGCCAUGACGCUGUGAGCUUCCCCCCAGCAGUGCCCCAAUGCCGUGAGCUUCCCCCCAGCAGUGCCAUGACCUUCCCCAAAUGAUGCCGUGAGCUUCCUGCAGUGAUGCUGUGAGCUUCCCCCAGCAGUGCCACAAGUUUCCCAAAUGAUGCCAUGAUGCUGCGAGCUUCCUCCCAACAGUGCCCCAAUGUCGUGAGCUUCCCCCCAGCAGUGCCACGAGCUCCCCCCAAUGAUGCUGUGAUGCUGCGAGCUUCCUCCCAACAGUGCCAUGAUGCUGUGAG